rnacentral:misc_RNA from 1 species
AACUUUCGGCAACGGAUCACUUGGCUCUCGCAUCGAUGAAGAACGCAGCGAAAUGGGAUACGUAAUGUGAAUUGCAGAAUUCAGUGAAUCAUCGAAUCUUUGAACGCACAUUGCACUCUCUGGUAUUCCGGAGAGUAUGCUUGUUUGAGUAUCUGUAAACAUCUCAAAUCUCUUUUAGGAGAGAAUUGGAUUUGAGCGAUUCCUUUCUUACGAAAGGGCCGCUUGAAAUGCAGGUGCAGCUGGACAUUUCUUCUGAGCUAAAAGCAUAUCUAUUUAGUCCCGUUAAACGGAUUAUUACUUUUGCUUCAGCUAAUAUAAAGGUCGAUUUAUCCAACGCUGAUUGCAGGAACUUGUUUUUUAUUAAACUUGUAAACUCGAUCUCAAAUCAAGUAAGACUACCCGCUGAACUUAAGCAUAUCAAUAAGCGGAGGCU